UACGGGGGGGGCAAGCGUUGUUCGGAAUUACUGGGCGUAAAGGGCUUGUAGGUGGCCAACUAAGUCCGACGUGAAAUCCCUAGGCUUAACCUAGGAACUGCGUCGGAUACUGGAUGGCUUGAAUCCGGGAGAGGGAUGCGGAAUUCCAGGUGUAGCGGUGAAAUGCGUAGAUAUUGGGAAGAACACCGGUGGCGAAGGCGGCUCUCUGGACCGAGACUGACGCUGAGACGCGAAAGCGUGGGGAGCGAACAGG
rnacentral:rRNA from 1 species